rnacentral:rRNA from 1 species
UACGUAGGGCGCAAGCGUUAAUCGGAAUUACUGGGCGUAAAGCGUGCGCAGGCGGUUUCGUAAGUCUGUCGUGAAAUCCCCGGGCUUAACCUGGGAAUGGCGAUGGAGACUGCGAGGCUAGAGUUUGGCAGAGGGGGGUAGAAUUCCACGUGUAGCAGUGAAAUGCGUAGAGAUGUGGAGGAACACCGAUGGCGAAGGCAGCCCCCUGGGUCAAAACUGACGCUCAUGCACGAAAGCGUGGGGAGCAAACAGG